UACAGUGUGAUGGACGGCAAUACAUAAUCAUUUGGUACAGUGAAAUUAUGUGCUUAGCUUGGAAUUAUGUUAAGGAAAGGAAUGCUUUUAUCAAGAGUCAGUAGUAUUAUAUCUUUACCAUAUAUUAAGGAAAACAAAGCAAGGUCGUGUUUGUUUUACCAAGGUUGCAACUCAGGCCAGGCAGCUACAGCAGCUGGCCCGAGUCCCCUGUGGAGAUCUUGGCGGAAAUCUCAGAGGUGUUACAAAUAGAGUGGAGAUGCAGCGUGUGGUGUAAAUGUCUGUAAUGGCGGGAAGAGAGACCCCGAUGAUCUUCUCAGCUGACCUCACUAU